AUGUGUAUAAGAGACAGGGUUAUUCCUUGUGCUCCUAAAUCCAGGCUUUGGUUAUUCCUUGGGCAGUUAGUCCUGGUUUUAUCUGCUCCUUGGCCUGUUUGUCCUGUUGAACCCAGGUUUUGGUUAUUCCUUGGCCUGUUUAUCCUGUUUUUUGUUAUUCCUUGGGCUGUUAGUCCUGAUUUUAUCUGCUCCUUGGGCUGUUUGUCCUGUUUUACCCAGGUUUUGGUUAUUCCUUGGGCUGUUUGUCCCUGUUUUUGGUUAUUCCUUGGGCUGUUAGUCCUGGUUUUAUCUGCUCCUUGGGCUGUUUGUCCUGUUUUACCCAGGUUUUGGUUAUUCCUUGGGCUGUUAGUUUUACCCAGGUUUUGGUUAUUCCUUGGGCUGUUAGUCCUGGUUUUAUCUGCUCCUUGGGCUCUUAGUCCUGUUCUACCCACAGGUGAUGGAUGGCUGAUGCAAGCUGAGCCUGUGUGGGCUCCUCUGGGCUGUGGGGUGAGUUUUGAACCCCUUCAGAGCAGCUCAGAUCCACCAAAAAAAGAGAAAUCCCAUUUAUCCAUUCUCAUGUGAGAGCCCUACCCACCUUGCACCCCUUUUCCAUGAAAACUUGCCCUGUUCCUGACCAAGCUGGGGCAGCAGGGAGUCUGUAAAUUGAUUUUCCUGGGGCUGUGUGUGGCCCCUGACAGGUACAGGAGGUUCUGUUCCAUCAUGGGAACUGCCAGGGUGAAAGUGGGAAAAACUGGAUCAUCAAUCCAGUGGAAAUCCUUGGCUUUACUUCCCAAAACCGCGUUGGUCCUGCACAGAAAUGUCACCUGCUGCUCCUGUGGCUAUCCUGAGGUGAGACUGGGAUUUUUCCUCCUGAAAUCCUGACCAGCAUCCAUAGGAUGGGAAGGUGCAGAGACCUGUGAGGGCUUGCAAGACUGCCUGACAGCUGGGUUUAAAACCUGCUUUUAAUUCCCAGUGAAUUCAGUGCUUUGCUGCCCUCCCAGGAGGAUUUUCCUGAGCCUUUGGGUUCGUUUCCAGCGCCGUUCGGAGCUCCCAGGGAAUGUGGGGCUGUGGAACAGGAAGCUUUGCACGAGGCUGCCAAAUUCCCUGUUGGAGGGUGAUGCCUUUCACGAGUGCCAGCUGAUGCUGGAGUCUGAAAUUCCAGCCAAGUCUCCGUGCAAAGAAUCCCUGUGUGAUUUUUAGGGGGUUUUUAGAGGAUUUACUGCAAAUUCUGUAAAUUGGUUGCUUUAGGCUUAAGUAAACCCGGCUUGGUUUUGUUAUUCCGGGUGAAAGUCCUGCACUGGGCUCUGAUCUCUUCCUUGGGCUCACGGAGGGGCUGUGGAAGUGCUUUGGGGUUCCUGCUGAGGGGUUUGGGGGCUCCAAGGUUCAAACCUGAAAGGGUUUUAUGGACUCAAGGCUGAGCUGCAGGGCUUGAUGAGCUGGAGGGGAUCCUGCCGAAGAAGGAAUCCUUCCUGCAGCUCUCAAGCUUCUCCUUGGAAAAGCAUGGAUUCCAGAGGCUGCUGAGCACCCCUUUCCCAGUGUUUGUGUUUCCAGGCUGAGGCUGCUCCAAGGGCCGUGUCCCUCUGGGCUGGAAUUGCAGAAUCAUGGAAUUACUGAGCUUGGAAAAGCCUUCCAAGGCCAUCCCAUCCAAGCUGUGACCCAUCCCCACCUUGUCCCCAGCCCAGAGCACGGAGUGCCUCAUCCAGGCUUUCCUUGGACACCUCCAGGGAUGUGACUCCAUGACCUGUCCCAGUGUUUAACCCUUUCCCACAUGCAGGACAGGAAGGAUCUGUGGGCAUUUUGCUGCUCAGGAUUUCCUGGGAUGAUCUUUCUGGGAUGGCUGUGGAGGUUUGAGCUUUCCCAGUGCUGGUUGGGGUCCUGGGACCCCUCCCACGUUGUCGUUGUCACCUCCAGGCCUUUGAGCCCUGCUGUGCCAUGGCAUCGUCUGCAGACGCCUUCAAGGAGCGCCAAGGAAAUUUUCCUGAGGGAAAAAAUGUGUAAGGGAGUGGUGGCAGUGAGGUUUGGGGCAGGUUUGGAUGGCAGGAGCUCAGCUGGCUUAAAAUCUGUGGGGGAAAACGAGCUGAGGGACAGAAGAGCUGGGAUUCCCGGGCCAGGCCCUCGGUGGGUGCAGAGCUCUGGGAGCUGAGGGGAAAAUAGGGACAAGGAACCUCCCAGAGCCAUUGGGGGACAGCGGCUCCGCCUUUUCUGCUUUUGGGGCCAUUCCUGCCCGUUCCCAGUUUUCCCAGCUCGCCCUUCUAGGAACUGUCCCAAGCUGCUGGGCAACUGCAGGAGGGACAAGCUGGGGCAGAGUCAGGGUGUUGAAAGCAGGAGGCAAUU
rnacentral:lncRNA from 13 species